AGUUUCUUAUUGCCCGAAAGAUGUUUCUAACUUUGGUCUGUAUCUCUCCACCGUCACCUGUGAUUGGUUGCCUUCAAUGUUAUGUUUCUCGAUGUACUAAGGUGUUUCUUCUUUGUUGCUAUGUAUGAAGAUGUUUGCAGGUACUGUUAUAUGAUUGGGCGAAGAAGUUGUCACUCCAUGCAUCUUCUCUUUGGUAUCGGUGAUUGGGUUUGUAGGGGUUGCCCUCCCCCUAUAUUUUUGCGCCGUUAGUUAUAGGGGUAUAAAGGAUGAUCUUUCAGUAGGGGUGUUGUCUCUCUUUCUGUUCUGUCUAUGCGAGACUGUCAUGGGCUUGAGUGAGUGGAGCAGAAGUCGACCCACCGGUGUUGAAUAAAAGGGUUUGGAUUCCAGUGCUUGAAGAACCGGAAUUAAAAGGUGUAUAUGAUGAUCAACUAAUCUGAUUUGGUUAUCACAAACAUAUGAUAUUUUUAAAGAAAAUGUGAAAGUAACUACAGUAUACUAAAUGUAAUGAAGUCAUGUAACCCUCUAAAGUAUUUAGCUCCCACCUGCAUAGCACAUUUAUGAUUGUUUUGCUUUCCUCCAGGUAAAUUGGCUCCUGAGAAUUUGUUCACUUGCAUUGCGAACAUCAAACAACAUUUCCAAUCAAUUCUAGCUAAGUGAGGGGCAUCAAAUUUUAAUUCUACAUCACUGGUUCUUAUCCACGUUUUUCCUUAUUGCCUUGAGAGCUAUAGACCGUCUGGCAGUAGUCAGCUGCAAUCUGUUUCUUUGAGGCAAAUGUAAAAUUCCAAACACAAUGGGGCUACAUUUAAUUGAAAGGAAGAAGUUUAUCAUUUUAACUGGAGGAUGUGGAGUGAAAUAAUCAUAAAUCUACACGUUAUCACCAACAAUCCCAAUAAUAUAAAUCUUUCUUUUCUAAGUACAAAAAUGGGGGUGAAGAUACUGUGGCAGGGGUGAAAGAGUUAAUCACUAUUAGCUAGGGUUAUCUUGCAUGACGGGAUACUUGACCAUUUUCUAUUUUUGCUUAAAUGCUUAUGUAGCUUAAAAACUAUUGACAGAGGAAAUAUACUGCUGACUCAUGUAACUGUAAACUGAAAUGCUGCUGUUGCCUCGUUUGGGGGUAACUGAUAACUGAAAUACUGCUGACUCGUGUAGAUGUGACCGCACCUUGCAAUCAUUGGAAAACCCAGCGAACAGAAUAUGCCUGGGAUAAGGUAACUACAGAAUGGCAGUUGAUUGAACAGACGUACAUAGAUCACUACUCCACAGAAGAUAAGAUAACAGUCACUGGAACAGGCAUCAGCAGUUGUUUCUUGGAAGUGCUCCUCGGCAGUAGUUUUUGGAAAAAUGACUACGUCUUUUCUUUGACUUUAAGUGUAUAUAAGAGAUUGUAAAACACUGUAUCUUUGGGUAGCUGCUCGGGGAGUACUGAGUGUAUUGGUAUACUGUCUGUACUGGUCCCCACCACUCGCAUCAUGACGAAUUGAGUAAAGAUUGGCUUGGUUUACCUUUAACCCCUUGUGUUGUUGUUUGUUUUAAGUAGAGAACUUUAUCAUUGGCAUAGUCGGCAGGAUGUUGCUGGGACCAUCAACAGACGACUGAGUGAGAGGCUGCAGUUUGACUGGGAUUGGAUGGGGAGAAAAAAGUGCACGUCGGACCCCUUGAGCCCGACCUCCCAUAGAAGCUCCCGGGAAAAUUCAGGUCCCUCAUCAGAUGAUUGAUCUGGUUUCCUGCCGAAAUCCUUAGAAGCAGAUAAUGAAGUACAUCACGUGUGGAAUGGUGCGCAAGCUUAUUUGCGUAUUUGGGUGUAUCAAAGUUUUAAGAGUUUGAAUAAUUUCUUUGAGAAUGCAAAUGAGCAGCCAAGUCUCCUGUGUCCAGGCAAGUAAUUGUGUGGAAGCUUGAAGCAUGUGCUGUGUAAAAGACAAAUGAAGGUCCGUGCAGUAUUGUGCUAGCUAGUUGAUUACAUCAGACCAUAGCUUACAAAAGGAGGUUUGAAAUAACUCACUAGGGGGGUUACAAAGUGAGAGAUAAAGUAGAUUGGGGAGGAGAAACAUAUUUGGACAAUUGAAGACAAAAAUACCAACUAACCCUGACCUCCUUCCCAGCACUGGGAUUCUUAUAUUGACUACACACUACCAUUUGUGCUAUGAUAAUGAACGGAGGGUACAAAAGGUGGUGGUAACAGACCAUGAAGACAGAAUGAGGCCGGUUGCAUACUGUUCAACUAGGCAAAGUCCAGUGGUCGCUGGGCUGCACUGAUGUGCUUAAGCAAGUGACUACGUAAAGGUAUUCCCAUGUCAAGACAGAACAGCUAGAAUUGUGAUAAAGAGUCAGAAAGGUAAUAUUUGGGUGGGGGUCCCUCUUCAGAUAGACUCUGAUCAGGGAACACAUUCACAGGGAGAGUGAUGAAGGAGGCUUCUGACUUGUAAGUAGUUAAAGAGUGAUUUCACAUUCCCAAACCACCCACAGUUUUGGAUUAGUGGAGGAAAUGAAUAGUAUUAAAGAGUUUAAAGGGCCUGUCCCACUUGGCGAUUAUUUCAGCGACUGCAGGCAUCAUUGACUGACGUAUCAUAUCACCACAAAAUACGCGGCGUGACAUGGCAUGAUGACGUAUGACGCGGCGGUGAUGCGGCGUGAUGAUGUAUGAUGCGUGGUCUUUUCUCAAGUGUCGCAACCACUUUUUUUGUCGCCGCUGGAUUUUGAUUUGUUCGAAAUCUUUUUGCGACACUGAUAUGACGCCGGCAAAAAUCGCCAAGUGGGACAGGCCCUUAAGUAAAGCCUUGACUGAGACUGGACAGGAAUGGGUUAAGGUAUUCCCAGCCACUCCGAUGGUUCAGAACAACCCCAGCUAGAGAGACAGGGUUAAAGCCUUUUGAAUUGAUAACAGGAUAAGCUAUAAACCUACCAGAAGAUGACCCUCCUUGAAAUGAGGAUGAUCCCACGCUACCUACCCCUCGGGUUGCGACUAGUGUGGAAAUUACACCCACAGGCCCUCAGCGAUGAAUCAAUUAGGUAUGCACAGCAAUUAACCCAUGCCUUGCCAGGUCUGCAUUCCCAGGUAGGAGAGGCACAGGAGCUACUAUCAGUUGAACUCAGGGACGAGUUCAUACUGUCAGAUUACGUGCUGAUAAGGUAAUUGGAUCAGAAGAAAUUAAGACUUUGUUGAAAGGGACUGUACCAAGUGCUACCAACAACAUCAACCGCCCUGAAGAUUGAAGAUCACCCCCGUUGGUACAUCUGAUUGACUGUAAACGGAUCGGAGAACCAAGAAAAGACAAUGGAGCUAUUGACCCUUCUUUGUAUUCUGGGGUUGGCCCAGAUGGACUGUCUUGGGGAAAUAAUUUGUUUCUGUCUAUGAGUUUUGAAUUUUCCCUUUGUGAUAAUAUAAGUGUAUGCUGGGAUGUGUACGCACAUCCAUAUAAUGGUGGAGGAGGAAUACUGCUCUUGACAAUACCCAUUAAUUUUACUGAGAUUCUUGCCUUACUCUGUUUUCACAGUAAAACAGCAACUAAUGGAUGCCUUCAGAAUGGCAAACUUGAGGACUAACCCAUAUUUAAAGGAUGGUAUGGUAUACAGCCUCCUUCAAGCUGGGAUGGAAAGUAAAUGAGAUCAGAGCUUGGGAAAUGCCACAGCUUAAAUUAGUGGAUUGCCCCCACAGCCCAGUUAUACCACCAGUUACUGUGACAAAAGAGGCAACGGGGUAUACUUAGGGAACAGCACCUGCACUAAGGUUAGUGUUCGUGGCCCGCCACAUCCAAUAAAUGGGACGUAUUUUGUGUGUGGAUCCUGGGCAUACCCAAGGUUACCUGGUAUGCCCCCGUGGGGAUGAGAAGAAUUGGGAAAGGUUGAUCAGGCCAGCCUACAACUGAAGGGGAUGCAGUUAUUUGCCCUUUGCUGUCCCUCACAUGCGAGCUGUGUAACAUUUAACUGAAUUGUAUUUCCCCAUGCGGGCUAAGUGAAGUAUAUCGAAGUCAAAGCGAUUCUGGAUGAUUGCCUUCCCGCAUUACGGGACAGCCCGCCUAUCACGGGAAUCGAUUAAUACGGUCGCUGUAUUGGAGACAUUGGUUAAUGAAACUGCGGUCGCCUUUACCUACACGCAAAAGGCCCUCUCAUCCAAAACAGCUGAAAUGGUUGCACUUUGAACUAUAGCCCUGCAGAAAAAAAAGGAGGUACCUGUACUAUAAUAGGGCAGGAAUGCUGCACGUAUGUUCCCGAUGAAUCCUUUAGCAUUACUAACCUAGCUGUCCACAUAUCCCAAUAAGUUAAAAUUUGAAGCCUGAUGCAUGUCUACAGUGAUGGGGGCAGCUGGUGGCUAUUUAGCUGGUUUGGAGGUCUCUCGGGGACCAUACUACAUUACGGUUCUAUUUUUCUGUUGGUGCUUACGUUGAUAUAUGUUAUGCAAUGUAUCUAACCACUCUGUGCUUUGUGAGGACUGGCAUGUUAUCAUGUAAUGAUAAAAAAGAAUCAAUGAAAGAUUGAAUCACUGUUAGCUAGGGUUACCUUGCAUGAUGGGAUACUUGACCAUCUUCUAUUUUUGCUUAAAUGCUCAUGUAACUUUAAAACUAUUGACAGAGGAAAUAUACUGCUGACUCAUGUAGAUAAAAACUGAAAUAUUGCUGGUGCCUCGUAUGGGGGUGACUGAUAACUGAAAUACUGCUGACUCAUGUUGAUGUGACCGAAACUUGCAAUCCUUGGAAAAACCACAGAACAGAAUAUGCCUGGGAUAAGCUAGCUACAGAAUGGCAAUUGAGCGAACCGAUGUACAUAGAUCGCUUCUCUGCAAAAGAUAAGAUAACAGUCACUGGAACAGAUGACAACAGUUGUUUCUUGGAAAAAUGACUAAGGCAUUUACUUGACUUUAAGAGUAUAUAAUUGUAAAUCACUGUAUAUUUGGGUGGCUGCUCGGAAAAUGCUGAGUGUAUUGGUAUACUGAGUGUAUUGCCACCCCCGUCAUGAUGAAUUGAGUAAAGCCUGGCUUGGUUUACCUUUAACCCUUAUAGUCUGUUAAGUGUUAUAGUCUGUUUUAAGUAGUGAACUUUAUCAGGGGAGGCAGUACAUUGGCAAAUUCAGGGUUCUGAUCAAAAAUCACCAUUGGGAAGAAAAUCUUUACUGUUUUCAGGAUUGGCAUAGUGGCGGCAUAGUGCUGAGAGCAGGGAAGGCACACUGUUACAAUAAUAGAGUUGUUGUCUUACAGCACCAGAGACUCGGGUUCGAUCCCGACUAUGGGUGUUGUCUGCAUGGAGUUUUACAUUCUCCCUGUGACUGCAUGGGUUUCCUCCGGGUGCUUCAGUUUCCUCCCACAUUACAUAGACAUGCAGGUUUGUAGGUAAAUUGGCCUAUAUAAAUUGCCCGUAAUGUGUAGGAUAGAAUUAGUAUACGGAUGAUCACUGGUCAGCGAGGGCUCGGUGGGCCAAAGGGCCUUUUUCCACGCUGUAUUAUGCUAAGCCUAGUUAAGAUUGCUAUACAGCCAUCUGCGACUGAGGAAAGGUAAUGUUAAACCCAAAUAUUUUCCAUGAUUACUGCCCAAGAACAUAGCCAGUCCCAUCAGUCAGCAAUGAAUCACCAUUGCUGCCUGUCACAACAGUGGGAGAGUAGCUUGUCAAACUAUUACUGUGUGUGCGGUGCUGGGAUGCCCAUUUACUGAGCUUUGUGUGGAAGCAAUAAUUGCUCAUGUAUUUCUGCAGCUGCAAACAUUACAGAAGUGAAUUUGAUGUCAGAAAUCUGCAUCAUCAAGAGGCUUCCAAAACAGCAAAUAUUUCAAAAGAGAAAGGCACUGUGUCACGAAGGAAGAGAAGAGAAUGAUGAACCUGCAUUUUUAACCAACUCAGGAUGUCACAAGUCAUCGCAGAGAGUGAAGUGUGGUUAGUGUUGCAAUGUGGGAAAAGCCACAGCCAGCCUGUGCUGAUCAAGCAUGCAAAGAGCAAGGUGAUAAUGAACAGAUGAUCUCCUUUAAUCAAAAGGAAACAAAGUGCAGGAAUAUCUCAGCGGGUUGGGCAGUUCCUCUAGCACUUUGUAUCCUUUUGCAUAAACCGGCAACUGCAGUUCCUUGUUUCUGCAUCUCCUCUAAUUAAUGUUGGUUGAGGGAGGAAGAGCAGCAAACAAAUGUCCACUUAAGUGAAUAGACAGACUCGUUAUUUAACAUGUCAUUUGACAAAUGGAACAUGCACUCUGAGCAUAUCUUAAUAUCUUAAUAUCGUCCAAGUCUGGUGAGAAUUAUGCAAUUUAAACUGGUCAGAAGAAGGGCCUCAACCUGAAACAUCACCCAUUCCUUCUCUCCAGAGAUGUUGCCUGUCCGACUGAGUUACUCCAGCAUUUUGUACCUAUCUUUGGUGUAAGCAAGAAUCUGCAGUUCCUUCCGACACAUUUAGUCUAAAACAGCACCGGAGUCAGACUAUCUGGAUCUGAGCCAGAUAGUCCAAAUGACUGUGACAGAUGAUUCUUCUCGAUCUGUUAGUCUUUGUUUAAUGUCAAUGAGCACUGAAAUCUUUGGACAAAACAUUUGCCAAAAGUUGUAAUCUAAAAUAUCAAUCUGACUGAGACAGGAAGUUUCUUAUACAUCACUCAUUCCCAAGUAAGAUCAUGACAUAUAGUCUAUACUGCUGUGGUACGUACAGUGGUGGUUGAUUAGACCAAUCUGGAUUCAAAAGUUCCUUCUGCAGAGAUACAGAGAUGUUGCAUCAAUGGUUCUUAAUUUUCGAGAUAGGGCUAAUAGAUGGCGUUAAUAGAUGGCAAAAGAAUAUGUAGGGCAAACCCUAUAUGUAUGCUCUGCAAAGUUGUGGCAAGAAUACUCUUAACGUGCCUGCAGGUUUCUUCAUCUUUGAUCCGACUGGGCAAUUUCACCAUCUGUCACUGUUGAUGCCCUCAUGGAUCCAAAUGCUUCGAAGCAAUGAGAUCUUUAUUGUGAGAUUAAUGAGUUGUAAGAUACAUAAAUGAACACUAUCUGUACUUGCAAUUCAAAGUUCAAUUACAGUGUUGUGUGUAUUUAAUAAUAUGCGCACAUAUAAUAACCAUAUAACAAUUACAGCACGGAAACAGGCCAUCUCGACCCUUCUAGUCCGUGCCAAACACAUAUUCUCCCCUAGUCCCAUAUACCUGCGCUCAGACCAUAACCUUCCAUUCCCUUCCCGUCCAUAUAACUAUCCAAUUUAUUUUUAAAUGAUAAAAACGAACCUGCCUCCACCACCUUCACUGGACGCUCAUUCCACACAGCCACCACUCUCUGAGUGAAGAAGUUCCCCCUCAUGUUACCCCUAAACUUCAGUCCCUUAAUUCUCAAGUCAUGUCCCCUUGUUUGAAUCUUCCCUACUCUCAGUGGGAAAAGCUUUUCCACGUCAACUCUGUCUAUCCCUCUCAUCAUUUUAAAAACCUCUAUCAAGUCCCCCCUUAACCUUCUGCGCUCCAAAGAAUAAAGCCCAAACUUGUUCAACCUUUCUCUGUAACUUAGUUGCUGAAACCCAGGCAACAUUCUAGUAAAUCUCCUCUGUACUCUCUCUAUUUUAUUGACAUCCUUCCUAUAAUUAGGCGACCAAAAUUGUACACCAUACUCCAGAAUUGGCCUCACCAAUGCCUUGUACAAUUUUAACAUGACAUCACAACUUCUAUACUCAAUGCUCUGAUUUAUAAAGGCCAGCACACCAAAAGCUUUCAUUACCACCCUAUCUACAUGAGAUUCCACUUUCAGGGAACUGUGCACAGUUAUUCCCAGAUCCCUCUGUUCACCUACAUUCUUCAAUUCCCUACCAUUACCAUGUAAAAUACGGAAUAUAAGGACAUAUACGGAAUUAAGAGCAGGAAUACCUGUUCCAUUUCCGAUCCGAUUCUAAUCUCAACUGUCCCUUGGUAACUUUCACCCUCUUGUUUAUUAUGAAUCUAUUGGCUUCUGGCUUGCCAGCACAGUAGCACAGCAGUAGAAUCGCUGCCUCACAGCACCAGAGACCCAAAUUCAAUCCUGACCAUGGAUGCAGUCUGUACAGUACAUUCUCCCUGUGACCGUGUGCAUUUUCUCCGGAUGCACCGGUUUGCUCCCAUACUCUGAAGAUAGGCAG